GGCGCUGCUGAGCAGCGUGAAACCAGAGCGUGAGAAGUUGCUGUGCUGAUGUUAUUGUGUUUUGCACAGUAUUGUUCCGGUAACCACAGCUGCCAGUUGUAAAAUCAACAGGAUUUUUUUUACAGUGCAGGAAGUGAAGCGAUCUGAAACGAGGGGAGAGGUAAGUUUCACAAUAAAACAGGAAAGAUGAAAAAUGACCUUAAGGGGAAUGUCGAGAUGUAUCACAUACCGGUGCUAUCAAAGAGGGAAAUAACAUAUGGUAUAAACAUAAAUAUGCGUUGAUGCGGUCGACAGAAGAUAUCGCUGCACCGUGCAUGACCGACAAUCAGCAACCGGUGAACUGGUGACAGCAAUCCAGCAAUUAAUCUGCACUUACUAAAUAUGCAGAACCUACAUUAAUGGCUCCUACAGUGAGCAUUUAUCUAUUCUUUGAAUGCUGAAGUGUGUCUAACGUUAUAGUUUAUUUAUAUACUGCAAUAUUAUUAUUAUUAUUGUUGUUCAGUCACAAUUAUUUCAGGGCAAAAAAAAAAAAAUUCAUUUCAUGUUUCAGUGUCUACUGGACUACAGUAUGCAGUGGUGUAGCUCAUAAAAGAGUCUCUGUGUUCAGAUACAGCACGGCACGAUCAUUUUCCAUUACUGUAGUACCUCCUCAGAGUGGGCGGAGUCAUCACUGCGCGGCUGCAUGAAACUGCUGUGACUUUGUUUUGAAUUGACUUUAUUGACUUUAUUCCUCCCCCAGGGGAGAAACACACAUUCACCACAGCUCAGUUGUGAAAAAGAGAAUAGAAUAAAAAUAAGAAUAAGAAUAAAAAAUAUAAUAAAAUAAGAUUGAAAACGUGACGUCACAUAGUAUGACCUGAGCUCUCUUUGAACCUCGUCAGAACAGGUACUAUCGCUGAUGGAAAAGCAAAAACAAGUGUCAAGUUUCCCUGUACUCAUCAGAUAAACAAACCCAACGUGUACAUUUUUGACAGUUAGUCCUGAAAAUCCUGAUAAAUAAAAAGACAAACACUAGAGGUUGAAUCUUUAAUAGGAUAAUGAAAGCCGGCAUUAGAAAAACAGGAGUUGCUUUAUUUAGUCAGCUUUGUAUUUUCCCAUUAUUCUGCUGGUGUUUAUUAUCCAUGAUAAAAAACAGCACAAUGUUAUUAUUGUGUUUCUUCAGUAUAUUUGCCUUAUUGUUUUGUGAAAGAUGUAGAGUAAUGAUGUUCCAUAGGGUUUGGGUUUCUUUGUAAUUUAAGCUUUAAAUGAGAUAAACAUUUGCACAGUGCCAAAGGCUGGAUUAAUAAACCGUUAAUUCAAACAAUAAUUCCACAGUUUACAUUUGAUUUGAAGAAAUGAUUUAAUCUUUUUAUCGUAUUCCGUUGUUUGAUGCAAAACAAAGACGUGUUAUUGCACAGGCCUGCCACUGGGGUGCAGUGUUGAACUAUGAUUUCUAGAUCACCUUUGAAACCUGUCUCCUCUUUUUAAUACUCCUGCACUGAAGGUUCACCUGGAAAAUAGUCCUUCCUCAAAACGAUGAUUAUUAAAAAUGAUUGACUGUGCGAUUAGCACUCAAAAAAAUAUCAAAAUCAGAAGUACUUAUGUCACAAUAGAGGACUUUAAAGAGCUGAUUGUGACAGAUAAUCAUUAACAGUGACACUGAAUGACAACUACCACUGUGAUACAUCUGCACACACGAGAUCAGUCCCUGGUUUAAAAUGAUGCUCAGUCAGUCAGCGUCAUUAUAUAGUCAUAUUAUGAGGUUUCAAAAGUGACUCAGCAGGAGCUUUGUUUUUCUAAUGUCAUUCAUAAAGUCAUUCAUUGUUUUUAUUUCUUAAACUGCCUCAUUUACAAGUUGCCCAAGUCCAAGUGCAGUGGGAUUGUUGUGUGAGUCUCACAGUCAAGAAUCAUGCCCAUAAAUAUUUGAU